rnacentral:lncRNA from 1 species
CUUCUGGCUGUCACUAAAUACUCAAUCAAGUUUGAAAUAUAAGGAUAACAAUUUUAUAUAUAUAAACUCCUCUCCUUUGGAGCAAUUACAUCAAUAUACAAGCCUUAAAAUCCAAAGAACACCAAAAUACUUGAUAAGGUGUUAUAAAAAACUUAUAUUUCCUUAUGAGGAAUUUUUCCUGAAGUUCAACAGCUCAUAACUUACGAUCUAACCGUCUAAACAACUCCAAAUUUUACAUGGAGUACUGAUAUAUCUUUAGCAACUACCACACCAAAAUUCAACCAUAAAUUCGUCUUGGAUCUUGUGAUAUCUUGAAAACCCUAACUGUAGCUUCAAACCCUAGCAUUUUUACACCCGUGUACAACUUCCUUCAUAUCUCACAAAGUAAUUAUUCAAAUACUAUGAAACUUUGAUCUAAAGCUUUUUAACCCAAUUAUACACACUUGUAGAAAUUUUGAGCCAAAAAUUCGUCCAGAAACUCAAGAUAUGGCUUCACCCAUAACUAUUAACAAAACGAUAUACUUACUGCCUUCAAAUUACAAGUGCUGUCUUCAACGCCUCAUAACUCCUUCACCCAAUCUUAGAAUUCACUAUAUAGUAAGUAGAAUGUGUAGCCGAGAAAAUGCUCCCUCCAAAUCCAGUCGCCGAUCUUCCGUUGCUCUCCGUAUUCGUAUGUGAUGCCCAAAAGAAGUGACAGUAGGUAUGAAAUUGACACCUUAUCUUUGAACAUUCAUAUCUUUUCCAUAAAAACUCGAAAUCACACAAAAUCUUCACCCAAAUUAUACCCAAAAUCAUAAACCUUCUGAUCCUAGCCUCAAAAGCUCGAAUGGCCUCGAAAGAGGAACCCUAAUUCCUAAUAUGGCCUCGGGCAGCCUCCUCAAAGCCCAUUGGGCAUGGUAUUCGACCAAUAGGGAUGAAGUUCUUCACCCCUUGCCUUCAUCCAACCAUGCCUUACUUUCAUCCUUCCCAAUAAGCCUCCUUCUAGUUAUAUUUUCAUCUUUUAACUCCUCCCUUCCCUUAAUCUUUAUACUAACUAUCUAAAUCCUAUAUAAUAUAAACUCUAUGAUCAAACUAGAUUAACUUCCAAAUAAUUUUUCUUAUUUCAAUUCAUUUUAAAUUAACAUACUAACUAUUCUAACUCACAUUAAGACUUAUAAACAUAUUACAUGUUUUCACUAAUUUUUACAUACUGUAAGUAAUUACAGUACGACAUCCACCUCCUCCAAACCUGCACAUCCUCCGGUAUGUACCACAUACUACUCUUCUUUAUCCUUUUGAGACUUCUUGGAAUCACUCAUAGAGUCUUCUUCUUCAUGUUCUUGGUCCAAAUAUUGAGGUAAGAAUUCUUCAAGAUCUUCUAUUUGAAAUCGCCCAUCUCUUCUUUUGAAAGCCUUCACCCUCUUUCCUGCUAUUGGAAUUCUAAUGAUAGCUCUAUCUAACUCACGUAAGUUAUAUGUGGCAUUAUCAUGGACUAUAACCACCACAUAUGGUCCAAACCAUUUUUUUGUAAAUUUCUUUACAGUACUAUGUUGAUGCUCAAGGCUGCUAUCAUAAACUAGAACCCAAUCUCCAAUCUCUAUAGGUUUAGGCCUUAACCUAUGAGUCUUAUCAAACAUCUCUUUAUUUUUCAAUCUUGCUUCCUUUAACCUCUCAAUUGCAAUUUGUAGGUCCUCAGGUAAUCUUCUUAACUGUUGGAUUCGAAGCUCUAAUAACCUUUCUCUAUUAAUGUUAUCUUUCCAAGACAAAAACAUCCAUGUAGGAUAGGUUGCUUCAGCAGGCAUUAUAGGUUUUUGUCCUAGCAUUAAUUCCAUAGGCAUAUAACCAGUGACAGUACUAUGAGUAGUUCUAUCAGCCCAUAAAGCAAAUGGAAGCAGUUUAGGCCAUUGAAUUGAUUUACCCUUAUAUGCCUUAACCAAUGCAUAAAUGAUUGGAGGAUGACCUCUUUCACUCUUUCCAUUGGCUUCAGGAUUAUAAGAAGUAGUCAACUUCAAUUGAACUCCGUAUCUUUUGAAAAAUCUCUUGCUUCUAUGGCAUCCAAUUCUCCUCUAUCAGCUCUCAUCCUCCCAAUAUAGCCAUAUCUGCUGAAGAUGUCUUCUAAUAUAAACCUGCAUAUUGCUUCUGUGGUCUUGGUUCUCAAAGCCCUUCUUUCAACAUAGUUUGAUAACUCUUCUCUUGCUAAAACCAAAUAUUUCAUACCCCAUAAUCUUGAAGGCAUAGCUACCAAAUCAAUUACCCAUUGAAAAUGUAUAGAAGGUGGAUAAGUAGGAUGUAAUCCAUCUCUAUACCUAACCUUAGAUUGUAGUUGGCACUCUGUGCAUGAACUCACAAAGUCUUCUACAUCUUUGUAUAAACCCUUCCACCAAUACCUUUCUUUGAUCUUAGUAUAUGUGGCCCAAACUCCUCUAUGUCCUGCCCAAAGUGUAUCAUGAUAUUCUCUUAAAACCUUAAUUUUAGUUUCAAGAUCUCCUAUAACUCUCAAUGGGAUUUUGUCACCUCUUUUUGGCCUCUUCCAUAGAAAUCCAUCCCUGAGUAUAUAACCAUAGGAUUGGUAUCUAAUAUCUUUGAAGGUUUUGUCCAUCUACCCUUCUUGUUUUUUCAUUGUGCUUAAAUAAAUUCCAACAUCCUUCAACUUGCCUUCAUACGUACCUUCAUAGAAAUUUUGAACCUUGUCACCAAAAUCCAUUCUACCAGUAGCAAAUGAACUUCCAUAAUUCUUCUCUUCUUCAUCUUCACCUCUUUCAUAUCCCAUCAUCUCUUCUUCAAAUGUAUAUCUAGCUCUGGACAACAUAUCUGCCACCAAGUUCUCUUUACCAGUAAUAUGUACCAAAACAGGGUUUAAUGUCCUUAUAUAGGCUAUCCAUCUUAGCAUGGCAAUAUCUGGAGUAGUACAGUUAAUUAUCAUUCUAAGUAAUGGCAAACAAUCUAUUUCCAAAACCAUACUUGCUCCAAUCAAAUAAUUCCUCUCAACCUUUAAUGCUAUAAGCACUCUCCAAAGCUCUCUUUUAACUUGUGGAUAAGCCCUUUGUCUCUUUGUAAGAACCCUAGCUCCAAACCUUAUAGCAAAUCUUCUUCCUUCUACAUCAUUUUGUCCAAUAGCCCAUCCAAUUGCUAUAGGGCUUAUAUCCACUGUUACAACUACUGGUCUUUCACAUUGAUAAUCCACUUGUUUAAGCACAGGUGGUGAACUCAACAUUUUUUUUAGAUUUUCCAUAGCUGUUUCUUGUUCUUCUUCCCAUACAAAUUUCUUACCCUUCCUUAAUAACUUAUAUAGUGGCUCUGAGAUAUGGGCAAAGUGUGGCACCCAAAUGUGAUAGAAUACAUAUGCUCCUAAAAACCCUCUGGCUUCUAUAACAUUUUUACAAGCCUUAAUUCUAGAUAUAGGAUCAAUCUUAUCAGGGUUUGGUUUCCUACCAUACCUGCCACACAUGCGCCCCACCACUAGAAUCUCAUCAACUCCAAAGCUUGAUUUCUCCAAAGAUAACGUGAGAUUAACUGACUCCAAUCUUUCCAAUAUCUGAGCCACAUCUUCAAUAUGUUUCUUCACAAACUUUCUACAACCUUCAAACUCCAUAGUCUCAUCCUUGUCUUCUUCUUUAUCUCCUUUUAUAGGUAUAUCAUCUAGAAAUGGAAUGGUUUUCUGAGGCACAAAUUCUUUUAAUAUUUGAUUCAUAGCAUUUUGCAUAUGAGCCACUGAGUUGGUUGCACCUUGAGGUAGCGUACACAUCCUCAUUAAACCCAAAGGAGUCUUCAUGGUAGUUAAAUCUCUACUCUCUUUAGCCAAUUGAAAUUGGUCAUAUCCAGAAUAUAAGUCUACAAUAGAAUAAAUGGCAUGACCUGUAAAUUGUUCAGCCACUUUAUCUACUAUGGGACCUGAUCCCAUAUUUCGAAUAGUCACCCUGUUUGCAAGUUGCAUAUCCUGAAUAAACCUUAAUGCCUUUGACUUCUUGGGUACUGUGAACCAUCUAUUAGAAUAGGGAGCAAUUGAAGGUUCCAAAAUGUCCAUCUUCACCUUCUCUUAUAAUAAUUCUAUCAAUUUUGGAAGUAAAGCUCUAGGCACAGGUAUAGGCUUUAAAUCCCAUGGAACAUGUGGCACUGUAAAGAUUACCAUACAUACUAUAAUACUAGGAUCCACACAUCCGAUUUCAUCAGGACUUAAGGCAAAUGCCUUACCAUGUCUAAUAAGUAUUUCUUGAAACAUAUCUUCCUCCGUUGAUGUUAAGAAGUCACCCCCUCCAAUCUUCAACUUAGCUAAUGAUUCUUGUGUAAAUUGAUGUUCAAUUCGACGCCUCUCUCUUAGACUUGGCUCCAUAACUGCUUGUUUAAUAUGCUCCAUAUUAUCAACUAGUAAUUGUGUAGCUACAGGCUUUACCUUUCUUGCCAAAGUUUUAUAUUUAGUUUGUACUCUAGCCUCAUGCUUCAAUCCAUAGUUUGUAGCAAGUCCACCAUUUGCUACCAUCUUUUCUAAUCUUUCAUAAGUCCUUCUUGAAUAUAUUUCUACUAUAGCAUCUCCAUCUAUGUUUAUAGUCAGAUUCUCCAAAACCUUUAUCAAAUCAUCUUACGAACCUAUUUUUUCUAUUACUCCAACUAUGGCUUCAUCACUUGAAACUAAAUCCACUCUUUUUAAGUUCUUCUCUUGUUUCUUUACCCUUUUUUAUUUAUAGAAUCUAAAUCUUUAAACUUUUGAACACUCACAAAUCCAUUACUAGAUAAGUUCAAAAAUCCAAAACUCAUACUAUCUACACUGGGGUUUGUAGAUGAAUCAUUUGCACCCAUGUGCCACCAUCUUACAAGGGUGCUUUUUAGAAAUCCACAAAGUUAUUUCUUAGCUCCAAGGGCAUCCCUCUUAAUUGUUCUCUGUGUCUCUCAUGGAUAGGUUUCACAGUAAUAAAUUGCACAGCUUUUCUCCCAUCCCAACUCCGAAUUCUGGCAUAAUGUGAACCAUCAUUCAAGACUCUAGUCUCCAUUCUAGCAGCUGUAAUAUAAGGUUGACCAAGUAUUACCGGAUAUGUAGCAGAGUUUUGCACAAAGAAAUUUUGCUCCACUUCUACAUCUCCAAUUCUAGUCUUUACAGCUGGACAAGCUCCAUGUAAAACACCUUGUUGAUUGUUUGCAGCUUUGAUUAUCCAACCAUGGUUGAUAUCAAUUGGCCACUUAUUCUUCUCAUAUAUCUUCCUUGACAUGAUGUUGAUUUCAGAUCCAUGAUCAACCAGGGCCAAAAUUGGAUCUUUAAAGUCCCCCAAUCUCACAUAUGUUUCUGUAGUAGCUCUAGCCCAAUAAGGAACUGAAUAACUACUACUCUCUAUUCCCUCAUUUUCACAUUUGGAGCAAGUAUUAACACUUGCUUCUUGUGCAUCCUUCCUUAUCCCUAUAAAUCCCAAAGGUGUGCAUUCCACUUAAUGCUCUCUUUUACCUUCAACAUAUUUAAAUGAAACCUUGUUUUCCAUAUCAACCUUAUUUCUAGUUUCAGACAUUGCAAAUUGUACAAAUACCUGUCCUAUCUCUUCUUCUUCAUCCACAGUUACCCGAGUAUCCAAUGCCUCUACCAUAAUAGCUUCUGCUGUCAUUUGCCUCUUCCUCUUUAUCACAUUGAUGAUUAAUUCAUGAAAAUCCUUCUUGGCUAUGCCUAGAGCCUCUCUUAGAGUGAAUUCAAUCUUUGCAUCCAAGAUCUUCUCCUCUAAAAUACUCUUCAUAUCUGUAGAUGAUUCAAUCUCAGAUUGAAGUUUAUAAGCAGGAGUUUUACCUUUAAGUUUGCUUGUAUCUUCUUUCUCCUUUUCUUUGCCCUUCUCCCACCACUCUUUUGAUAAUGGUGCACUACCAGGAUGAGUAGAAGAAGAUACCUUCUCAGUUUUUUGCUCCUUAGAAGCUUCUUUAUUUCUUGGAGACCUCCUCUUAUUUUCAGGCUCAAUAACAUCUUCUUCAUGAAUAGUUCUACCUCUUUUUUCUUCAACCAUAGCAUUAUGCAUAUCAUCAUCAUGCUUGUCUCCACACAAAUAUGCUUUAAUGCUAAUAGCAUCAACUGGAUCAUUCCACCCAGUUUUCUUUCUGAUAGCUUCAGCUCCCCUCAUCAUGACUCCUUUAGUUGGCAAAGAAACAGCCUUAACUCCCUUUUGUUCAACUGUAAUAGAAUAAGACUCAGCUCCUUUCCCUUUUAUGGCACUAUUCUUUGAUGUUUGCUCCUCUACUAAUUUUUUCAUGCCACCCUUCCCAAAAUUAGUCUUUAGAGGCUCAUCUGACCCUGUGAGUCUUAUCCUGCCCUCUUUGAAAUAUACAAUACCAUCCUUGAUUGCAGCCUUAUAGCUAUCACACUCACCACGCUUAUGGUUUGGAUUGUCACACCACAUACAUCUUUCUAUAAAUCCCUUUGAGCCUUCAAUUAUCUUUGAUGAGCUUGCCAUCUGGAAUUUCUUCAAUUCAGUCAUUUCCACCUUCAAGUCCUGUAUGCCCUUAAUUAGGUCUUCAAGAGUACCAUCCUUAACAGUCUUGAUUCCGUUUUGAGGUGGCAUUAGAUUUUGAGAUGCAGGCAUUGGCUCCAACUUUGGUAAUAAUCCACGAGUCUUAAUCUUUUGUUGCCUAGCCAAAAGCCCCACUGUCUCUUUUACUAGCUUUGAUUCAUUAAUAAAACCACUCUCAGAUGUCUUAUCUGCUAGGUAAAAGAGUAGCUUAUCCUCCAAAUAUUCAUCAGCUGCUUGUAAAAACAAUCCAGUCUUCCUUGUUUCCAAAAGCUCCCUCUCUUGUCGUGGUAACUGUCCAAACUUAGCCUCAAAUUCCCUCAUUAAUUCAUUGGGAGGCAUUUGAUUCCCUGGCCUUUGCUCAAUCCAAUCCAAAAAAGUUUUUUUUGUCAUUCUUUCUGAAUCCUCCUCAAAAAACUCAUCUUUCAAGAGUUCUUCAAAUUUCUUCCAUGAUAUAGUCUCAGUAUGCAACUCUUGCAUCCUCUCUCUGAUUUCUGGUAUCACUGCCAAAUCAAAGGUAGAAAUCAUCUUUACUUCUGAAACCUGAUGCACUUCCAUUUCACAUGUAUAAACCCUGAGGAACUAAGUGAUGUUCCUCCCAUCAAACCUCCCAACCUUAUCCACCACUACUUGUAAAGCUUUGGUGGUAUUCUUAUCCUCUCCAUGCACCUGUUGCCUUUCUUCCAUAAAUUGAGCAAAUGCCCUGAAUAAAUCAUGAGCACCUACUCCACUUGGUAAUCCAAACCCUGGAACUUGAUCCCCCAUUCUAACUUAUUGAGAAUUUUAGUGCCUUAAGGCUCUCUCAGUGGAAGCACCAAAUAUGUCGGGGUAGAGAGAGUUUGCCUCAAGAAAGCGCUGGGCUUCUGGCUGUCACUAAAUACUCAAUCAAGUUUGAAAUAUAAGGAUAACAAUUUUAUAUAUAUAAACUCCUAUCCUUUGGGGCAAUUACAUCAAUAUACAAGCCUUAAAAUCCAAAGAACACCAAAAUACUUGAUAAGGUGUUAUAAAAAACUUAUAUUUCCUUAUGAGGAAUUUUUCCUGAAGUUCAACAGCUCAUAACUUACGAUCUAACCGUCUAAACAACUCCAAAUUUUACAUGGAGUACUGAUAUAUCUUUAGCAACUACCACACCAAAAUUCAACCAUAAAUUCGUCUUGGAUCUUGUGAUAUCUUGAAAACCCUAACUGCAGCUUCAAACCCUAGCUUUUUUACACCCGUGUACAACUUCCUUCAUAUCUCACAAAGUAAUUAUUCAAAUACUAUGAAACUUUGAUCUAAAGCUUUUUAACCCAAUUAUACACACUUGUAGAAAUUUUGAGCCAAAAAUUCGUCCAGAAACUCAAGAUAUGGCUUCACCCAUAACUAUUAACAAAACGAUAUACUUACUGCCUUCAAAUUACAAGUGCUGUCUUCAACGCCUCAUAACUCCUUCACCCAAUCUUAGAAUUCACUAUAUAGUAAGUAGAAUGUGUAGCCGAGAAAAUGCUCCCUCCAAAUCCAGUCGCCGAUCUUCCGUUGCUCUCCGUAUUCGUAUGUGAUGCCCAAAAGAAGUGACAGUAGGUAUGAAAUUGACACCUUAUCUUUGAACAUUCAUAUCUUUUCCAUAAAAACUCGAAAUCACACAAAAUCUUCACCCAAAUUAUACCCAAAACCAUAAACCUUCUGAUCCUAGCCUCAAAAGCUCGAAUGGCCUCGAAAGAGGAACCCUAAUUCCUAAUAUGGCCUCGGGCAGCCUCCUCAAAGCCC